GUUUACUUCAGACUCAAGAUGGUGUUUCUGGCUAGAGGUGUUAAGAGAAAGCAAUCAUUUCUGCACAGCUAAUUAAUAGUUCUUACUCAGGAUUGCCAGACAUGAAGAUAUGCUGAAUGUAAUUGGGAGCAAGUUCUUGGAUGAAGCUUUAUUGCAAUCUCUCUGCCUGGGUUUUUUCCUGGGGACACCAAAUACUUAAACAUGGGUACGGAGAAAGUGCCUAAUUCAGUAGCUUGUGGGUGUUCAGCAGGACUGCAUUCAGCUGCAUUUGUAAUCCUGAGCAUUUUCCUUCUUUGUCUCCCAUAUCGUAGGUAGUUGUUUCUGGCUGUCUAGAAGAGUGUGUUCAGCUUGCAUGUUGUGUCAUGAUUUUUCAAUGAAAGUUCUUAAUACCCUUCUGUUUGUGGAACAAAACCAAAUGCUAGAGUCUCAGCAGUUGUGAUUAAAUACGGUUCUUGUUUUCCACAUGAACCUGCCAGUGACAUGGAAAUGCUGGCAACACAAAGCAACUAUUGUGACACAGCUUGUCAGGAAAGAAAAACCAGAACUUUCACUGCUCUGGGCUUCUGAUGACAGGUGCCCAAGUGGCUGCUGCCUGACUGUUGUGCUUGCUUCCACACACACAAGACAUCACUAAUUCACAGAAGGAGGCUAGAUAUCCAGUGAGUACCGAUAAUGAGAUUACCACCAAACAAAGGACUUCCAGAUAUGAUCAGGUGCCAUUAUAUCUCUUGUGGUUUUACUGCUGCAGUUUCGGCCGUAGACCAAAUGCUGUUUUGCUGUCUGAAGAGAUCUCAGCAAAGGGGCAGUAGUUAAAGAGGAACGAUUACAUUGUAAAAAGCCAUAAAACCUUCCAGGAUUCAGAGUCUCAGGGGAAAGCAGAAAGGAACCCAAGACGAAGUCACACAUUGUGGAUCCAUAGAGCCCGACAUCACUAGACUGUGUUGCCAAGAUGGCAUGGCUCAGGCAUCACUACUGGAAGUGCUGGCACUUACCUCUGGGAAAUCAGUGGGACUCACUGUGGAGCAAAGCAUUGUCAGCAAGUGCUGCUUCACAGAUCUGCCUGUUUGAGUUAUAGAAGGAUGCCAGGACCACGCUGUCCUUCAUUACGUGAUGGAGACUCGGUUGCUCUUACAGAAACUCUGAAUCCUGCUGGCUGCUGUAAAGAAAUGAGAAGGAAGUUUCAGUCUUCCAGUUGGAGAGGAGUGACACAGAUGUUUAAGACGCAAGCAGCUUAGAUGUAACACAUUCUUUAAAUUAGGAGAGAAGAACCUUUUUCAUUACAUUCCAAAGAAUUGUGAAAGAUGUGGAAAUCACUGCUUGGAAAACUGUACUUCUACAGGGAGCUGAGUGAAGUCCUACUGAUUCUCACUGCAAUGAAGUACUCAGGACACUUUUUUUGAGCCCACCACUACAGUCAUCACAAAGACAACACUUAGUCCAAGAAGAUUCUAGGCCUUCUUCAGAAGGUGCUGCUAAUUCCCCUAUUUUCUUCCAGAAAUGGGAAAAAUGAUCUAUAUUAGGAAAUGCGUUCUUCCUUU
rnacentral:lncRNA from 1 species